AGAAGUAAAAGUCGUAACAAGGUUUCCUAUCUGGAGCAACGUUGAUCCUUCUUAGGUAUUCUUGGUCAUUUAGAGGAAGUAAAAGUCGUAACAAGGUUCGCCAGCGUAGGUGACGGCAACAAAACUCGCUUCACCCCGGAAGCGAGUGCACGUUUACCUAUGGAAGCCUUGCAGUUCAGUCUAUCUCGGAUAGGCAACACCGCCAUGAUGACUGGGACCUUACUGCAACCGGUAAGCACCAGCAKCUGCUAACGCGGCUCACAGAUCAAACGUCGGUGGCUCAGUGGGGUUGCGGUCYGACGCUGCUGGAGACGCCCCCCGCCCCUGAGUUGARAGAUGACCGGCCUCAUCACGCAAGUGAUCGGGAACUGACGCGUUCCGUAGGUGAACCUGCGGAAGGAUCAUUA
rnacentral:rRNA from 1 species